rnacentral:misc_RNA from 1 species
UCCCCAAAGACAGAAUCCGAUUCAACGUUGGAGGCAGAAUCUUCGAGACAACCUCCACGACCUUGGCAAAUGCCGGUAGAAACUCCUUUUUCGGAGCAUUUUUUGACGAUAAUUGGGCUUUAAAACAACCCAUCAAUGACCUCAAUCCCAACAGUGAAUUCUACAUCGAUCGAAACCCGGAUUGUUUCGGUAUCCUCCUCGAUCUUCUCCGCACCGGCGAUCUCCACAUCCCUCCCCACGUCCCGGAAAGACUCCUCCACCGAGAGGCGUCAUUUUACGGCCUCUUGGACCAUGUAAGAUCGCCGGUGCGGAGAAGAUCGAGGAGNCCAUUCCCGGUCUGUCACUGGCCGGGCACCAGGGGAUGGUACCGCAAUUCGUGCAGGUCCG